AAUGCAAUUGGUGACAGACGUUCAGCAAGGGCAGGAUCCAUCAAGGAAUCAGAGGGUAAACAACCUGGCAACAGAGAUGCAGGAUGUUCAGGAGAGUUUUCGGGAUGUCGUCAACACCAGACUGGAGGCCAUUGAGAAGUCAGUGAAGAAGAUGGCCAUCAGUAUGGUUGAAAUGCAAAGGCCAUGGCUGACAGCACGGCUGAAAUCAGAAAGACCAGGCACGAAGAUUACAGGGAGACUGUGGACAUCCUUCACAUUCUGGUCACAUCCAACAAACAGCUGUUGGAGAACACGGCAUGCCAGUCACACAGCAUUCACAACAUGUCGAAGAGCUAGCGACAUUCCGCAGCCAGCGCACAGAUCAUCGCAAUGACACUUCAGAUGAUCUACAACAAACUCCCAGAGCCAGAUUAUCAACAUGCUGGUCAACCACCACAUCCGCCACCACAAGCCACACUGACGCCUCCUGCCCUUGCUCCACCACAACCCUGGUAUGGACAGUCACAGCAGUACCAAGGGUAUACAGGGAUGUACCCCAUCUACAGGAUGCCUCCACCACCAACACCGGCAUCAACAUUUACACCACCCCCGACCGGGUACUACCAAGGGAUGGUUGACAAAGGGUCAUGGACAGCAUUGUUCGUGUUGUGCUUACAAAGAUACAGUCUCUAUACAAGAACAAGGAAUGUAUCAAGAAGAACAAACACUUCUUUUUUGUUUUAUUACAAUUU